rfam:Gossypium arboreum cultivar AKA8401 contig_18752_1, whole genome shotgun sequence.
AUCCCAUGAUAAGGACACAUACGAAGUAAUUCUUUGAAUAUUUCCCACGCCUUGUAUAAAGACUCAUAAUCCAAUUGUUUGAAAGUAGUUAUCUCAUUUCGAAACUU